GUAACAGCUCAAAUUUGAAAGCUAGCUCUUUUAGGGUUCGCAUUGUAAUUUGUAGAAGAUGCUUCGGGUGUGGCCCCGGUCUAAGUUCCUUGGAACAGGACGUCAUAGAGGGUGAGAAUCCCGUAUGUGACUGGGUGCUUUCGCUCAUGUGAAGCUCUUUCGACGAGUCGAGUUGUUUGGGAAUGCAGCUCAAAAUGGGUGGUAAAUUUCAUCUAAAGCUAAAUAUUGGCCAGAGACCGAUAGCGCACAAGUAGAGUGAUCGAAAGAUGAAAAGCACUUUGGAAAGAGAGUUAAACAGUACGUGAAAUUGUUGAAAGGGAAGCGCUUGCAACCAGACUUGCGCGCUGAUGAUCAUCCGGGCUUCUGUCCGGUGCACUCGUCUGCGCUCAGGCCAGCAUCGGUUUCGGUGGUGGGAUAAAGGCCUUGGGAAUGUAGCUCCUCUCGGGGAGUGUUAUAGCCCUCGGUGCAAUGCCGCCUAUCGGGACCGAGGACCGCGCUUCGGCUAGGAUGCUGGCGUAAUGGUUGUAAGCGACCCGUCUUGAAACACGGACCAAGGAGUCUAACAUCUAUGCGAGUGUUUGGGUGUCAAACCCAUACGCGUAAUGAAAGUGAACGGAGGUGAGAACCCUUAAGGGUGCAUCAUCGACCGGUCCUGAUGUCUUCGGAUGGAUCUGAGUAAGAGCAUAGCUGUUGGGACCCGAAAGAUGGUGAACUAUGCGUGAAUAGGGUGAAGCCAGAGGAAACUCUGGUGGAGGCUCGCAGCGGUUCUGACGUGCAAAUCGAUCGUC
rnacentral:rRNA from 1 species